rnacentral:rRNA from 1 species
GUGAACCAGUACCGUGAGGGAAAGGCGAAAAGAACCCCGGCGAGGGGAGUGAAAAAGAACCUGAAACCGUGUACGUACAAGCAGUGGGAGCCCCACCACUAAGCCAGUGGUGAACUCCACAUACGCAUCCUUUGCUGAGGAUACGGUUAACGGAGCGAAAGCGACGUUCAACCGCAAAAGAAGCAGAGGGGGCUUAGUGGUGGGGUGACUGCGUACCUUUUGUAUAAUGGGUCAGCGACUUAUAUUCUGUAGCAAGGUUAACCGAAUAGGGGAGCCGGAGGGAAACCGAGUCUUAAUUGGGCGUUAAGUUGCAGGGUAUAGACCCGAAACCCGGUGAUCUAGCCAUGGGCAGGUUGAAGGUUGGGUAACACUAACUG